rnacentral:tRNA from 1 species
GCAGCCGUAGCUUAAUGGGCGAGAGCUCUCGAUUGUCGAUCGAGCAGAUGCCGGUUCGAAUCCGGUCGGCUGCGCCA